rnacentral:rRNA from 1 species
UACGUAGGGUCCAGGCGUUAAUCGGAAUUACUGGGCGUAAAGCGUGCGCAGGCGGUUUUAUAAGCCAGAUGUGAAAUCCCCGGGCUUAACCUGGGAAUGGCAUUUGGGACUGUAAGGCUAGAGUACGGCAGAGGAGACUAGAAUUCCUGGUGUAGCAGUGAAAUGCGUAGAUAUCAGGAGGAAUACCGAUGGCGAAGGCAGGUCUCUGGGUCGAUACUGACGCUCAUGCACGAAAGCGUGGGGAGCAAACAGG